rnacentral:rRNA from 1 species
UACGUAGGGUGCGAGCGUUAAUCGGAAUUACUGGGCGUAAAGCGUGCGCAGGCGGUUCGCUGUGUCCGAUGUGAAAGCCCCGGGCUUAACCUGGGAAUGGCAUUGGAAACUGGCGGGCUUGAGUGUGGCAGAGGGGGGUGGAAUUCCGCGUGUAGCAGUGAAAUGCGUAGAGAUGCGGAGGAACACCGAUGGCGAAGGCGGCCGCCUGGUUGGAUACUGACGCUGAGACGCGAAAGCGUGGGGAGCAAACAGG